GCGGGUAUGGCGGAAUUGGCAGACGCGCCAGAUUCAGGUUCUGGUGGGGGCAACUUCGUGGAGGUUCAAGUCCUCUUACCCGCACCA
rnacentral:tRNA from 1 species